UACAGAGGUCUCAAGCGUUUGUUCGGAUUCAUUGGGCGUAAAGGGUGCGUAGGUGGCGCGCUAAGUCAGGUGUGAAAUUUCGGAGCUUAACUCCGAAACUGCAUUUGAUACUGGCGUGCUUGAGGACUGGAGAGGAGACUGGAAUUCAUGGUGUAGCAGUGAAAUGCGUAGAGAUCAUGAGGAAGACCAGUGGCGAAGGCGGGUCUCUGGACAGUUCCUGACACUGAGGCACGAAGGCCAGGGGAGCAAACAGG
rnacentral:rRNA from 1 species